UGGUGGAGUGAUUUGUCUGGUUAAUUCCGAUAACGAACGAGACCUUAACCUGCUAAUUAGUUAGGCCAACAAUUUUGUUGGUCUUCUAACUUCUUAGAGGGACUGUUGAUGUUUAAUCAACGGAAGUUUGAGGCAAUAACA
rnacentral:rRNA from 1 species